rnacentral:rRNA from 1 species
UAGGGAAUCUUCCGCAAUGGGCGAAAGCCUGACGGAGCAACGCCGCGUGAGUGAAGAAGGAUUUCGGUUCGUAAAGCUCUGUUGUUAGGGAAGAAUGAUUGUGUAGUAACUAUACACAGUAGAGACGGUACCUAACCAGAAAGCCACGGCUAACUACGUGCCAGCAGCCGCGGUAAUACGUAGGUGGCAAGCGUUGUCCGGAAUUAUUGGGCGUAAAGCGCGCGCAGGUGGUUUAAUAAGUCUGAUGUGAAAGCCCACGGCUCAACCGUGGAGGGUCAUUGGAAACUGUUAAACUUGAGUGCAGGAGAGAAAAGUGGAAUUCCUAGUGUAGCGGUGAAAUGCGUAGAUAUAUGGAGGAACACCGGUGGCGAAAGCGGCUCUCUGGCUUGUAACUGACGCUGAGGCUCGAAAGCGUGGGGAGCAAACAGGAUUAGAUACCCUGGUAGUCCACGCCGUAAACGAUGAGUGCUAGGUGUUAGACCCUUUCCGGGGUUUAGUGCCGUAGCUAACGCAUUAAGCACUCCGCCUGGGGAGUACGACCGCAAGGUUG